GAGGAAGACUGACAGAAAGAGAAGAUGUCUGAUAAGUGUGAUCUGUGUCUGCUGGGACUCAUCUUUCUCUCUUCACUUCUCACAGGUAUCAAUGGAGUGGAUGAUCAUGUGUUCAUCAGUUCUGGUGAAAAUGUCCGUCUGUCCUGUAAUAAUGCUCUUCAUGACUGUAGAUCAACUACAUGGAACUAUAACAGGUUCAGUCUCUCAGCAGCAGACGAACUGAUUGGUGAUGGAGAAAAGAAGAAAGACAUAGAGAGACAUGAGAGACUGAGUCUGGGGUCUGACUGCUCUCUGAACAUCAAGAACAUCACAGAAGAAGAUUAUGGACUGUAUACCUGCAAGCAACAACAAACCAAUGCUUACGUUUUUCUGCAUGUUCUUCAGGUCUCUUCAUCAUCUUCAUCAUCCUCACAGACUCUCUCCUGUCAGCUGUAUGUGUACUUUACUGGAUUCUCUUGUGAUGAUUGGAUCAGAUCUCAGAGAAUUGAGGUGUUCUGGGUGAAUCAGGCUGGUGUUAAACUGAAGAGAUCAGACUCCAGAGAUCAGAUAUUAUUCUCAUCAGAUCACUGUAUCAUCAGACUGACUACAACACUCCUGAAUGAAGAUCUCUACAGAGAGUGGAGAUGUGAAGUUACUCACAGAGAUCAAGUCAAGACCUCAGUCACAUACACUGUCAGGAGAUCAGAAGGCGGAGCUAUAAUUCUGGCUGUAGUGUUGUCUUAUGGCCAAUCAGAGAACACCUCGCUCUUUCAGAACGAUGAGCUUUGCACAAAUCGGCCCGUUUUAGGAGGCGGGGCUUAGAGGAGAAACAAAGAUAUACAGUAUGUGGAAAAUAAUGUGUUUUUUUGCACGUUGCAUUACACUAAAUAAACUAAAUAAUGUUCUUUUUAGCUCCAUCUUACGAGCUCUCCUUAUAAAUCAUAGCAUGUUUCAGAUGAUCAAAAGCACUGCUUGUGGUCUGUUCAUAGUCUCUUCUGUAGUGACGGUGGUUUCUGUUUCUGCCGCUGCGUUCGCUGCUCUCCUCGCCGCCGUUCUCUGCCUGAUCUACAGGAAAAGAGCAGAUAUGAAAAGAGGGACUGGGCAGUCGGCGGUCAAAGGUGAGAACGAACACAAAGCG